GUGCUCAUUUCAGCAGCAUAUAUAUGAAAUUGGAAUGAUGUAGAGAUUAGCAGGGCCCCUACGCAAGGGUGAUAUGCAAAAAUUAUACAGUCAUACAGUCACU